GACGAACGCUGGCGGCGUGCCUAAUACAUGCAAGUUGAGCGCUGAAGGUUGGUACUUGUACCAACUGGAUGAGCCGCGAACGGGUGAGUAACGCGUGGGGAAUCUGCCUUUGAGCGGGGGACAACAUUUGGAAACGAAUGCUAAUACCGCAUAAAAACUUUAAACACAAGUUUUAAGUUUGAAAGAUGCAAUUGCAUCACUCAAAGAUGAUCCCGCGUUGUAUUAGCUAGUUGGUGAGGUAAAGGCUCACCAAGGCGAUGAUACAUAGCCGACCUGAGAGGGUGAUCGGCCACAUUGGGACUGAGACACGGCCCAAACGCCUGCGGGAGGCAGCAGUAGGGAAUCUUCGGCAAUGGACGAAAGUCUGACCGAGCAACGCCGCGUGAGUGAAGAAGGUUGUCGGAUCGUAAAACUCUGUUGGUAGAGAAGAACGUUGGUGAGAGUGGAAAGCUCAUCAAGUGACGGUAACUACACAGAAAGGGACGGCUAACUACGUG
rnacentral:rRNA from 1 species